AUUGAACGCUGGCGGCAGGCCUAACACAUGCAAGUCGAGCGAGCGGCGGACGGGCGAGUAAUGUAUGGGGACUGCCCGAUAGAGGGGGAUAACUACUGGAAACGGUGGCUAAUACCGCAUACUAUCGGAUAACCCAUAUGGGAUUAGCUAGUAGGUGGGGUAAAGGCUCACCUAGGCGACGAUCUCUUGCUGGUCUGAGAGGCUGAUGAGCCAAAAUGGGAAAGAGACACGGCCCAGACUGCUACGGAGGGAGCAGUGGGGAAUACUGCACAAUAGACGCAAGCCUGAUGCAGCCAUUCCGGGUGUAUGAAGAAGGCCUUAGGGUUGUAAAGUACUUUCAGCGGGGAGGCGUUACCCGCAGAAGAAGCACCGGCUAACUCCGUACCAGCCGCCGCGGUAAUAC
rnacentral:rRNA from 1 species